UAUAAGUGGUUGGGUUGCAAUAUUAAAUUAGCUAGUUAUUUUAAUGUAUAAAACAAUUCAAUCACUUAUAUAAGCCCACAUGAAAAUAAAGUAAUAUGUAAUACGCUCAGCACUCUCUCCAAAUUUAACAAGAGUCAUUUGAUACAAUAUUUGAAUAUGUUGAUCCUCAUCUGUUUGUUCAAGAACCUGCAUCCCAUGCAUAAUUUGGUUAAAUAUAAAGUUUGAAUAUGUUUGACCCUGGUAACAUGGUUUUAUUUACUACUUGGAUCUGGUAAUCUGCCAUUUUUUUCCCCCUGCAGCAUUUAUAAUCAUGUUUGUGAGUUGUGAGCUUAGUUUCUUGUUGAAGUCAAGUUACUGUGUCUUAUGGAUGAGAAAAUCACAAGUUUGCAAUUUUCAUACAUGGUUUUAUUUACUACCUGGAUCUGGUAAUCCUUCAUUUUUCUUCCCUGCAGCACGUAAUCAUGUUUGUGAGUUGUGAGCUUAGUUUCUUGUUGAAGUCAAGUUACUGUGUCUUAUGGAUGAGAAAAUCACAAGUUUGCAAUUUUCAUACAUGGUUUUAUUUACUACCUGGAUCUGGUAAUCCUUCAUUUUUCUUCCCUGCAGCACG
rnacentral:misc_RNA from 1 species